CGCAGGCGCAGCCCCGGCCGCGGAGCGGGAGCGGGGCCGGGCCCGGCGGGGCCGCCGCGGUGCCCUCACGGUCUGUACAGCCCCAAGGGUUUGGCCUGUGAUCAAGGAGUGGUCCUAAACGUAUGGAUAACAAGAAGGAGGAAAGAAGUAGGUCGCUAUGUGCAACAUCACAAGAAGAGCUGAAAGUCCGAGGAAAAGAAAAAAGGAAACGAAAACGUAGCAGAAGCAGAUCAUCAUCAAUUUCAUCCACAUCAUCUUCUAGUACUUCCACUACAUCCACUUCUUCCUCUUCAUCACGCUCAUCAUCGAGGUCUUCUUCCAGUACCAGAGAGACUGCAACUGCAACUCUGGCUGUAAAAUACUGGGCAGUGUCUGAAAAAACUGAAAGGAGAGUGGGGGAAACUCUUCUGCUUUCUGAAUGA
rnacentral:lncRNA from 1 species